CACGUGGGUAACCUGCCCAUAAGACUGGGAUAACUCCGGGAAACCGGGGCUAAUACCGGAUAACAUUUUGAACUGCAUGGUUCGAAAUUGAAAGGCGGCUUCGGCUGUCACUUAUGGAUGGACCCGCGUCGCAUUAGCUAGUUGGUGAGGUAACGGCUCACCAAGGCAACGAUGCGUAGCCGACCUGAGAGGGUGAUCGGCCACACUGGGACUGAGACACGGCCCAGACUCCUACGGGAGGCAGCAGUAGGGAAUCUUCCGCAAUGGACGAAAGUCUGACGGAGCAACGCCGCGUGAGUGAUGAAGGCUUUCGGGUCGUAAAACUCUGUUGUUAGGGAAGAACAAGUGCUAGUUGAAUAAGCUGGCACCUUGACGGUACCUAACCAGAAAGCCACGGCUAACUACGUGCCAGCAGCCGCGGUAAUACGUAGGUGGCAAGCGUUAUCCGGAAUUAUUGGGCGUAAAGCGCGCGCAGGUGGUUUCUUAAGUCUGAUGUGAAAGCCCACGGCU
rnacentral:rRNA from 1 species